GGGCGCAUAGCUCAGCGGUAGAGCGCUGCUCUUACAAAGCAGAUGUCGCAGGUUCAAAUCCUGCUGUGCCCAC
rnacentral:tRNA from 2 species